UCAAUUUUAAAUUUUUUAUUCUCAGAAACAACACAAAAGAAAACUUCAAUUUUGUAUUCUUUUUUUUUCUGUUCUAAUUUAAGUUUUCUAUUCUUUUCUUUUCUGUUUAAAACUCAGAAACAGAGAGGCGAGAGAUUAGUUUAUUCUACCAAAAAAAAACAUUUGCAACUAAUCAUAUUAAAUAGGUUUCCAUCUAAACCACACAAGUCCAGUCAAGCACAGUAGCACAAAUUACAGUCUGUUAAUAUCCAUCGGAGUCAUCAGAUCUGAUUUUGGUAAAAUAUUAAUGGUAAAAGAUUCAAACAAAUGUAUUUUGGAUAAUAGAUGAAGAAACAUAUACAUCAGUAAUCAUAAAUAUAUAUGCUUUUAAUCCCAUAAUGAAAUAAGAUAUCUCCAAUUGCUCCAGAGAGAUUAAAAAGAAGAGUACAUUAAUUGUCUAUCAUUUUAUUGCAAAGCUUUCGUAUAUGGUUACAUAAAAAAAUCUAAAUACAUCAAUUAAAUACAUGAACUAUCACUAUCAUUAUGUCCGUUUCGAAGGCUCAUUUAUCAUUUUGUCCAUACAAUAAAAAAGUUUUAAAAGAUUGUCUAUCAUUCUAUCCUGGCUAACUAUCAAAAUUUCAACUUUUGGACAGCUUCGAUGAAUUUUCAACUUCUUGCAAUAUCCACAAGCCGAAAUAUGACGGGUAUCAUCUAUUAGUUUGUCCUUGUUAAGACCACAAACAAGCAUUCUAUACAAUUAAAAUGUUAUGUUUUAUCAUAUAGAAUGAAGAGUCUAAAUGGUCGGAAUAAGACAUAAAUUGAAAAUUCAAUAUAUCAAUUUUUUUAAACAGAGAAAUCACGGCCGAACAUAUCUUAGUAACGCCAAAUAGUUGAUUUGACUGAAAAAUCCACCCAACUUCCGGAUCAUCAUGCAGAAUAUCAAUUUGGUAAGACCCAGAUUUAAGUUUCUUUGAAUACAAAUUGAGGUUUAGCAGAUCCCUUAAAACAGCAGUAAUAUAAGACCGAUGCAAAAUCAUAUUGAUUCAAAAGAGAAUCACGGAUGUACCUUUGGGCAGCCCCAACAAUAUGAGAACCUUAUUCAGAUCUUUUUGCUGGCAUCACCAUGGAAUCUCUUACCUUCCAGAAAAUAGGAUAGAAGCGUGCAGAGAUGAGGAAGAGAGAAGAAAGGUCUAGAGGCGGCUAUUGUAGGCAGGCUGACUCUUAUCUUUAUAUAGGUAUUAGAUUUGGUUCACGCUUUUUGCCUUUCUUAGCAAACCCUGAUUUUCAUAUUAUUUUUGAAUAUUAUGUUACUAAAUUGCAAAUCUAGCUCUUGUAUUUGUUAUGUUUUUGUAAAAGUGUUCCUUAAACUUUUUUUUUAGCAUAAGUCUCCUCAUGGAUAUUUAGUUGUACAAAAUUGUUCCUCCAACCCUUUUUGUCAAUAAAAAGUGAAUUUUAUCAAAUUAAAUUUAAUAUAAAGUGCUAACAUAUUAUUCAUGUCUAAAGUAAGGUUAUUAUAGUCAUUAUGGUAAUUAGACCUAUUUGAGAGUAACAAAAUUCGCAUUUACGAGCGAGAAAGAACAAAUGUGAGCUAAGAGGUAUCAAAUUAAGAUUCAAAUUCAUCUUAAUUAAACCUGAGUUUUAAAUUAGGGCUAAAAUUUAUCUCAACUAAAUCGUAUUUUGUGAAAUUAAAGUUACAAGUAGUCGUUAGAGUUUAAAUUAGUGUUGUAAAUGGAACCAAUAAUUUGAUUGUUGCCUUAGGAACAUGAUGACACGCCUGUACACUAUAAUAACCUUAAUUUAUGCAACGGAAUAAUACGCCAGCAUUUUUUUCUCAAAUUCAAUUAAUAGAAAUUACUUUAUUAUCAACGAAAAUGGAUGGAAGAACAGUUUUGUAUAACUAAUGUAUCUAUGAGGGAGACUUGUGCUAAAAAAUAAAUUUAAGAAUCUCGUAAAAACAUGACAAAUUGAAGGGAUAGAUUUGCAAUUUAGUCUAUAUUAACAUGUACUCCCUCUGUCCCGAAUUAUCUGCUGUUUUAGCAAAAAAAAAAUUAUCCCACAAUAUCUGCUUUUUUAAUAUUCCAAUGCAUUUUUUCCCUUUGUUUUCCAAAUUUGCCCCUUUACCCUAAUUGUUGAUAGUCAUUACUCUCAUUCAUGCCUCUCCACUUUUUUAAACAUCAUCUUCAUAUUUCUACCAAUAAGGAUUCACGCCUCUUUUUUCCCCAAUUCACUUCCACUCAUACUUUCUCUCUCUGCAAACUCUUUUGGGUAUUGGAGCCGCUGCUUUCUCUCUAUCUCUCUUCAAUUAAUCAUUGUUUCUCUUCAAGCUAGAUCCUUUUUAUAUUCUCACCAAUUGUUUUGUGGGAUUUUGGUGGAAAACAAAAAAGUCAGCACACAGGGUAUUUUAGUAUUUUUAUCAUACAUAUUGGUAUCUGUGUGGAACUCUAGAACAACAGAUAAUUCGGGACGGAUGGAGUAUAUGUUUUAUACUCCAUUUAUUGUCACAUUUUAAUUCUUCUAGUCAAUUAUGAUUAUGAGGACACAUUAGGACUCUCACAUUUAUUUUACAAAAUUUAUUUUAUUUAUUAUCUAAUGGUAAAAUAUUCAAACAAAUGUAUUUUGGAUAGACCAAAUAACCAAACUAAGCCAGCCAGCAACUUCUCGAUUGUUUUCAUUGUUUCUUCUGGGCAAAACUAACCUGAAUUACCCAGAUCACUUCAACUUCCACAUGACUCUAUCUGGACCUACAACCAAUUCAACUGCAGAGAACAUAUAUAAAUGAGAAAGAAUACAUACCAUAUAUGUUAAAAGUAUACAAUAAGAGGCCCGGUUUGUCUCUGAUCAACUCAAAGCUCAAAGCUAACCAAGUCGAGCUUCGUAUGGACUGACUGAGCUCAGUUUGAACCCAAUGACAACCUUAACUAGCCAUGUAUAUAUGUUCAAUAACAUUAUCCCCCGACUCAAAUAUAGCCCCAACAUAAAAUUUUAAUUUUAACUUUAAUUACACGUUAAUGUUAGCUUAGUUGCAUUUUGUAUCAGGGUUGGGCUAGUUAAUUAGACUAGAAACUGGUCCUAUAAAUGAGCAGGUUGAUCAUGGUUUUCGGAAGUGGUACAAAACUGAUUUGCACCAUUUGACCACCGGUCAGACGGGUGAUUUAACUAUAAAAAAUGGUAAAACAGACUUAGUAUACCGUCUUUAUUUUUAAUUAAUUUUCAACGCUUGGCUUCAGUCACAAUGUUAACCAAAAUUAUAUUAAAAUCAUAUUAAUAUAUACUUAAAUAAUGUUUUGCAAAAUUAUAUUUUAGUUCAGCAAGAAGAGAUGUUUUAAAAUCCUACUAAUUACUCAUAAUAUUUUUUAUGUAUUUAUGAUGUCACCCUUUUGAUAGCGGUUAAACCGGUGAUUGAAACAAGUGACCGUCCCACCCACUAUCUUUUCUGAUUUGAUGAACAGUCUAGUUCUAUAAAAACAUUAAACUAAAGUACAUCACAAAGACAACCGGACUCGAUUAGUAUGAAGUUGCAAACCCAAGACCGUCGGUCAGUUGAAACCUGUCUUGCUGACACGUCAGUACCAGUUGAAUUAACGGGUGAGAUUCAAAAGUUCUGCACGGCGUCGUUUGGCGAAGAAAAUUCUGAUAAAUCGGAUGUAGCGAUCAAAUACAAUAAGAAGUAAUCGGUACUAAAACAAAGAUUGACGUCUGGCGUAAUUGAUUGAUGCCUGACCGCUAUAUAGCAGAGGCGGCGACCGAAGAUUGAGUGGAGAUUUGGCGCCAAUUGCUCCUUCUCCUCCUUAUAUAUAGCAUCUAUCUGUUUCUUUCAUCUCCACCCAACUGGUUCUUCUUCUUAGUAAUAGCAUACUCUUCAAUAUGUCUCAACAACCUAGUUUUAAUCAAAGUUAUUCCACCUCUAAUUGAACAUUACACUCAACUCAACGUACGCAACCUGCACGUUCCACCCAAUCCAGUGCUUCCAAUCAUCCCAAAUACUGCUAUUGUGGAAAAUUAGCUCAAUUGAAGACCGCUUGGAUUGUACGAAAUUUGGGGUGCCAAUUUUAUGGAUGUGUUUAUUGGAGCCCGCUAUCUGUAAGAAUUUUUUUUAUUCCUCUAUGAAUACUUAAUACGUUCUUAUAAUCUAUUUAUUAGUAAAUAAAAAUCUGAUUUUGUAGAUGGGACUUACUUGUGGGCUUUUCGAGUGGAUUGAUCCUAUGUAAGAAGGGGAAAGAAAUUAU
rnacentral:lncRNA from 1 species